UAAAAUUCCUUAUAUAAAGAGUUUUAAGCCUCGAAGCCAGCCAAUAAAUCACGAGACGAAUCGUAACCAUACAACAUUUUAUUCGGAACAAACCAAAAAAUGGAAACGGAAUCAAGGCAAAGGUCCAGCACUGGGCAGUGUUACCAUGGCCGCAGACAGACGCUGUGUGAGGAAUACAGACAGCUCGGUGACUGUGCUGCGUUCACGGACUUCUUGAGAGCUAGUAAACAUAAUCACCCUCAUCAUCGAUCGACAAAGUCGCCCCAAACAGAUAUCACCUGAUGCGAGGAUGGAGGUGACCUCAGCAUUGACACGUUGCGGAUUCCUGCUCUCUCUGGUUCCACAGAUGGGUCACGCUGCUGCUCUCACUCAGCUGCUUCAGUCUCAGAGUGGGUCCCCUCACCUUGAUGCUCUCCCCGUCGAGCUGCAGCGUCCUCUCUCUGAAGUCGACCCCGAUCGUUGCCUCCUGGUUGUUCAGGAAAGUGCCUCCGCAGAAUCGGUACGUGAGACACGUCUUCCCCACGUU